rnacentral:rRNA from 1 species
UCCUAGCCUUUUAAUUGGAGGCCUGCAUGAAUGGCUUGACGAGCGCCCUGCUGUCUCUCUUCCCAUGAACUUUUAAAUUAACUUUCGCGUGCAAAGGCGCGAAUGGCUGAGUUAGACGAAAAGACCCUAUGCAUCUUUACUGAGAGAGAAGAAAGUUCUUUAGCUUGGUUUAGCUGGGGCAGCUGAGGAAAAGGCAAAAUUUCCUUAAUAUAAAUCAUACUGGUGGGUUUAGAUCCAGGCUCUUUAGCGGGCUUGACAAGUAGAAAAGUUACGCUAGGGAUAACAGCGUUAUCCUUCUGUGGAGGUCUUAUCUGCAGGAGGGAUUGCGACCUCGAUGUUGAAUUAGGGAUAUACCAGAAAGGCGCAGAAGCUUUUAUUGUGGGUCUGUUCCACCCU